CCGCGGGGCCCUCUCUUUCCUCUUCCUCCCUGGUCUUCCCUUUUGCUCCUUCUUUCCCUCCCUCGUCUUGUGAAAGCCCCCGGCUCAACCGGGGAACAGCGGGGCGAACUUCGGGUCUUGAGGCAGGUAGGGGCGGAUGGAACUGUCGGCGGAGCGGUGGAAUGCGUAGAUAUCGACAGGAACGCCGAUGGCGAAGGCAGUCCGCUGGGCCUGUCCUGACGCUCAGGCACGAAAGCGUGGGGAGCAAACAG
rnacentral:rRNA from 1 species